rnacentral:rRNA from 1 species
UACAGAGGGUGCGAGCGUUGUCCGGAAUCACUGGGCGUAAAGGGCGCGUAGGUGGCUGGGUAAGUGUGCGGUGAAAGUCCGGGGCUCAACCCCGGAUCUGCCGUGCAAACUGCCUAGCUCGAGCAUAGUAGAGGCACGUGGAAUUCCGGGUGUAGCGGUGGAAUGCGUAGAGAUCCGGAAGAACACCGGUGGCGAAGGCGGCGUGCUGGGCUAUUGCUGACACUGAGGCGCGACAGCGUGGGGAGCAAACAGG